UCGUAUGGUUUUUCCUAUUCGGCUGUUUACAGCAUUCAUAUGGUUCCAGUUCGGCUGUUUACAGCAUUCAUAUGCUUCUCCGGUUCGGUGGAUUGGUGUCUACAGUAGCUGUGCCUGUGUCUCUGGAAGGGGAAAUUCUACUAAACAGCGGUUUAACCCUUUUAUGCCUUGGGGUGCUGUUACAUGCGUGUAUAGAGAUUGUUUGUUUGGAACGACUUGUUCGUAUGAUGAAUGACCGAAGGUUAGCACCAGAACUGUGAGUACACAUGCGUAGUGUGAGUGGCCCCAAAAUGACAAUUUCAUAUGUAUGGGUGAAUGCUAAGUGUUUGGCAUGAAUGCCGUGUGAAUGGGUACCCUUUCAGGCGAACUCACAGUUUGUGUAAACGAAUGGGACCCAGACCUGUACCCCGGAAGUUGUGGGGAGGUGAGAGUUCAGCAGUUCGGAUCUGUUGUCGGGUUACCGGAGCUGGCAGAACUGGCGGUCGGGCAUAGUCGGAGUAAGGUAAGUCGGGUAACUGGACCAGUGUGG